rnacentral:rRNA from 1 species
AUGCCUUACACAUGCAAGUCGAACGGUAACAGGUCUUCGGAUGCUGACGAGUGGCGAACGGGUGAGUAAUACAUCGGAACGUGCCCGAGAGUGGGGGAUAACGAAGCGAAAGCUUUGCUAAUACCGCAUACGAUCUCAGGAUGAAAGCAGGGGACCGCAAGGCCUUGCGCUCACGGAGCGGCCGAUGGCAGAUUAGGUAGUUGGUGGGAUAAAAGCUUACCAAGCCGACGAUCUGUAGCUGGUCUGAGAGGACGACCAGCCACACUGGGACUGAGACACGGCCCAGACUCCUACGGGAGGCAGCAGUGGGGAAUUUUGGACAAUGGGCGCAAGCCUGAUCCAGCCAUGCCGCGUGCAGGAUGAAGGCCUUCGGGUUGUAAACUGCUUUUGUACGGAACGAAAAGACUCUGGUUAAUACCUGGGGUCCAUGACGGUACCGUAAGAAUAAGCACCGGCUAACUACGUGCCAGCAGCCGCGGUAAUACGUAGGGUGCGAGCGUUAAUCGGAAUUACUGGGCGUAAAGCGUGCGCAGGCGGUUAUGUAAGACAGAUGUGAAAUCCCCGGGCUCAACCUGGGAACUGCAUUUGUGACUGCAUAGCUAGAGUACGGCAGAGGGGGAUGGAAUUCCGCGUGUAGCAGUGAAAUGCGUACGAUAUGCGGAGGAACACCGAUGGCGAAGGCAAUCCCCUGGGGCCUGUACUGACGCUCAUGCACGA